GCGGAUGUAGCUCAGUUGGUUAGAGCGCCUGAUUGUGGUCCAGGAGGUCGUGGGUUCAAUUCCCAUCAUUCGCCCCA
rnacentral:tRNA from 1 species